CGCAACUGCAAAGUACGAAAACCUUCCAAACUGAACAAACUUGACCUCUGACUGAAACAGCUGCCGGAAACCUGAAAAGCUUAAGGAAAUCUAGUCAGUCUGACGUUUUUAAUGCGCGGAUCUGCUUAUCAUGAUGAUACUGACCUAGCUACCUAGGUUAUGACUCUCGAGUCAGCUGACUGCAUGAUGCUAGAAGAAGAAGAGAAAGCAAAGCUGGAUCUCCUCCACAAGGACUAACCGGCGCUCAUGCAGAGGCGCUUGUUUUGCAUUGUUGCUUCCUUGGUGGGUAGACGGUUUGGAACCACCUCAACCACGAAUGCAAUGCUCUCCAUCUCUCGAAGUUGUGGUGAUGUUAAGAGACUCUGGCACGGUGAUGUUCUAGUUCGAGGAGUUGGAAGCUUCCGUUAGUGUGAGCUAGCUAGUCACCCUUCACCGCUGUUAAACACCACUGUUUCAUUUUGAUGAUUCUUGAGGCACUUCUGAAGCAACUGAUCAAGGAGUUGGAAACCCAUGUUGGGGUUACUAGGACUGUUGAACAGAGAAGCACCACCACUUGAUCAUGAUGUUGAUGAUCGAUCGACAAUCCUGUGUCAAAGCUCUUGAAUAUGCCAUGCCUACGCCUGCCGCACCUAUGUUCCUAGCCAAAAGAACCUUGUUUCAGAAAUUUGCAACUGCUAUGGUUGUCUGUUCGGAUGAGUCCUCAUAGUUCCCCGAACUUUUGUUACCGAAGCUGAUGUAGGAGCUGGUUACGGAAUAAGGACGAGGUCUAUUAUCACUCAUACACAUUAUUUUUUUCUCAGUAUAUGUAUAAUGUAGUUUCCCAGCAGUUCACAUGGAAUAUUGAUCAAUGCCUCUCCGCCAUGAGCAUGCGUCAAGGUGAUUGGAUUUCAGAAUGUUCUUAAGGACUCCUUGGUCUAGCAUCUGCUUUUUCAGUUACACUAUGUAACUGAAGUUCUGAGACAAACAUCUGUAUACAAGCACCGAUCUCCUGGAAUGUGAGGUGUUAUCCUUGGAACACUGCUCGUCUGCUGACUGCAAAUUGCCGGUAGCCGCUGCUUGAUUUGAUUGAAUUGAUUCGAGGUUCAGUGACCAUAGUGACCUAAGAGAACUGGCACCUAGUGGUUGUCAAGACCUCUACGUUUGGAUGGCAGCAGCAGAACAAGGUAGAUUUUAACCUAUCCUUUCUUGUCCAGGGGUGG